AGAAUCAUUGAGCUACCAGCCAUAGUUUGGUACAGAAGCAAAAGUCAACUAUCUCAGUCACUUUGUUAUAGACAACCUGACGGUUAAUUACAUAUUUUUGCCAGAAAUCUACACUACCGGCCGCUGCUGAUUAACAGGUUCUAUCACACCGGAUUCUUCUCUGCUGCCUGAUUACUACGCAAUACUAUUACAUCUUAAAAUAAUCGUGAUUUGAGGUGAUUCCGAUUGAUCAACCGCCUAAUAAUAAAACAAACACAAAAAUUACAAAUAGUGAGAGUAACAAAACCACUUACGUGUUCACAUCCUAGUUAACUCAUCGUUUUCUGGGAUAAAGAUUGAGAUUAUCAGAUUAUUAUCGUUCAGCAAACAGGUUAUAAAGAUAAAAAGCCAAGAUGUUUGCCAUUAUGCAGAUUGACAACGACGUCAGUGGAGGUCAGUUCAGGAGAAAGAUGAGGUCCAAGUGCGAGUUCGUCUGCAAGUAUUGCCAAAGGAGGUUUACGAAGCCGUACAACCUCAUGAUUCACGAGAGGACGCACAAGAGUCCAGAGGUAACUUUCAGUUGCGAAAUUUGCGGGAAGAGUUUUAAACGGCAGGACAACCUCAAACAACACAGAUGUAAUCAGUGCUAUUGGAGGUAAAGGGCUCCUAUGGUUGAAAAAGGGCUAACCCAGUCCUUCUUAAUUUUAAAAGUGGAAACCAGAAAUGGAUACUAGCCAGUAUAUCAUGCUCCUGCUCCAGUCAUCCCUUAUAGGGAGCAUACACUACCCAGCCAAUACAACAUGUAGUUGUUUCAGUAGCAGAUACUAGUAUUAAGUCGCCUUUAAAAUUUCUUCAC
rnacentral:misc_RNA from 1 species